CGGGUGAGUAAUGCAUCGGAACGUGCCCAGUCGUGGGGGAUAACGCAGCGAAAGCUGUGCUAAUACCGCAUACGAUCUAUGGAUGAAAGCGGGGGACCUUCGGGCCUCGCGCGAUUGGAGCGGCCGAUGUUAGAUUAGCUAGUUGGUGGGGUAAGAGCCCACCAAGGCGACGAUCUGUAGCUGGUCUGAGAGGACGACCAGCCACACUGGAACUGAGACACGGUCCAGACUCC
rnacentral:rRNA from 1 species